rnacentral:sRNA from 1 species
AAUUCGGUAUAAAAUGAAUGUCCAUUCGUUCUCAGCGAGCUAAAAUUCCUCAGCCCAAAUGCAUACAGAACUUGAGGACCGAUGGCAAAGGCACCAACAAGUAGUAAAAGAAAAAAAAAGCCUACAAUGAGAAUGCCGGGUGCUUCCUUCUUUCCAGGAGCAGGGGACUUCAAAAACAAACACCGAGCUCUUCCUUUCCUAGCUGCAAAUUAGUGUCCGGGACAAGGACUGGAAGCUGGAUCAACUUUACUACAGGCCGGAUGACCAGUAGCCAAUGCUCUUGUACCCUCUUAAAAUCUGAAAUCCGGGUCGACGUCCAUUGCCCACGAAAAUUUCGCAAUGAGUGAUUUGUUGAAAAUCUUCUCGAUGGGUACUUCAUGGCGUUUGCACCAUGCAACAGUAAUUCUGGGAUCAAGGUAAUUGAUCUUUGAAGUUCCUAGUGCCACUGUCUUUAAAUCCUCUUUAAUCUUCUUAUCCAUCUCCAUCUUCUCUAUCUUGGUUUCAA